AGAGAUUCCUCCUACGGCCAAAAAUUCCAUCGGAGAAGACGGUGGCGGUCGGCCACUAGCGGCGGCGUCUCCUUCUUCUCCGUUGAACCUACGCCAAAACCCUAAAUAACCAACACCGACCCCCUCCUUUUGGCCAAGGAUACCCAAUCUGGCCUCAAACUCUCCUAAAACCUUCUUAAAACAACCAGAUCGAGCCUCCUUCGAAAACGAAAUUCAAUUCCCACCCAAAGUAACACCUCAAUACAACCAAGUUAACCUAAACUUCUUCUAACCAACAAAUUGAAACGAGGAAGCAAUACCAAACAAAUUCAAGACGCAAACCCUGAACUCGAAAUUACAUCAACAACCAAGGUGACUCGGCGCAAUUAACAAAGGGUUUCUAAACAGCUCCACAAGGCGAACAAGAUAUUGACAACAAAUUAAAGAAAAUAUUAAAGACUCACCAAGUCGAAGACAGUGCGACGAUCUUUCCGGCGAGGUAAAUAUUUUUCAACCUUUUUUGACUUUCUUCCUUAUUUCUUCUCCUUCCACUUAUGUAUUUUCCUUGGUGUAUUGCUGUUUUUAUUGGCUUUUUCUUUUUUGUGUGUUUAUGAGUGUAUUGCUAUGAGUGAGGUUGAUCUCUCUCCAUUCAGAGCUUUAAUGGAGCAACAUGAGUGAAUCUCAGAUUCUUUUGCUUUAGUGUAGGAUAGGUAGUGAAUUUAGUAGGGUAACGAUAAGGAUCCCCUUCAAUGAUUGGAUCAUUCUUAUUUAUAUAGGAGUUGUGGGUUUCAAAAUUGUGUGCGAAUGGUUCGCAAGCACCAACUGUAAUUCCGUUAUAGAGGAUUUUUCUUAGAUAUUGUGGGGCCCGAAUAUGGAUCCUGCCAGUUUGUUAGGAACGAGAUUGUUCUUGUCUGUAGUGAGUGAGUAUCCUUAACUUGUGUGGUCCACCGAAUUUGAAUUUGUAAUUUCCUUUGAGGGAUUUUUACUACGGUAACUGCUAUGUAUUUAAAGGUUUUUUUUUUGUUUUACGUACCCCUAAUAAUCGAAUUUUGUCUUUCUUGCAAUUUUGAAGUUGGUUCAUUUUCUGGUGCAGUAUUUUAACUCCCUAUUUCUAUCCUUUGCUACAGGUACUGAACCUGAUCAUGAUUGGCCCUUGGGGAGUUUGAAGAACAAGUGCGGGGUGUGACUAUGAUCAAUUGAUACAUAGCCCCAACCUUUAAGGAUUUUCCUUGUAAUAAAAAAAUUAUGUCUUUUUGAUCAUAGGUAAUAAUUUGUAUAGGACUUUACUAACAUAGUUUGUAUGUUUUGUGCCUUUGACAAUGAAGUUUGUACUCAGG
rnacentral:lncRNA from 1 species